AACGAACGCUGGCGGCAUGCCUAACACAUGCAAGUCGAACGAGACCUUCGGGUCUAGUGGCGCACGGGUGCGUAACGCGUUGGAACCUGCCCUUAUGUUCGGAAUAACUCCCCGAAAUGUGUGCUAAUACCGGAUAAUGUCUUCGGACCAAAGAUUUAUCGCCUUUGGAUGGUCCCGCGUUGGAUUAGAUAGUUAGUAGGGUAAAAGCAUACAAAGGAGACGAUACAUAGAUGGUCUGAGAGGAUGAUAAGACACACUGGGACUGAGACACGGCACAGAAUACGACGGGAGGAAGCAGAGGGGAAUAUAGGAAAAUGGGCGAAAGCAUGAAAAGGCAAUGAGGCGUGAGUGAUGAAGGGAUUAGGGAAGUAAAGCUCUUUUAAACGGGAAGAGAAUGACAGUACCGGGAGAAUAAGCACCGGCUAACUACGUG
rnacentral:rRNA from 1 species